GCUGGUGUAGCUCAACUGGAAGAGCAUCUGUCUUGUAAACAGAGGGUUACGGGUUCAAUUCCUGUCAUCAGCU
rnacentral:tRNA from 1 species